rnacentral:rRNA from 1 species
AGUGCCGUUGAUACUGUAGGGCUAGGAUUUGGUUGCUGUGGGUGGAAUGUGUGGUGUAGCGGUGAAAUGCUUAGAUAUCACACAGAAUAUCGAUUGCGAAGGCAGCUCACAAAGCCAAGAUUGACGCUGAGGCACGAAAGUGUGGGGAUCAAACAGGAUUAGAUACCCUGGUAGUCCACACUGUAAACGAUGAUAACUCGCUGCCGGCGAUACACAGUCGGUGGCCAAGCGAAAGCGAUAAGUUAUCCACCUGGGGAGUACGACCGCAAGGUUGAAACUCAAAGGAAUUGACGGGGGCCCGCACAAGCGGAGGAACAUGUGGUUUAAUUCGAUGAUACGCGAGGAACCUUACCUGGGCUUAAAUGUAGAGUGCAUUAGGUGGAAACACUUAUUCCCUUCGGGGCUCUUUACAAGGUGCUGCAUGGUUGUCGUCAGCUCGUGCCGUGAGGUGUCGGGUUAAGUCCCAUAACGAGCGCAACCCCUAUCGUUAGUUGCCAGCGGGUAAAGCCGGGGACUCUAGCGAAACUGCCGGUGUAAACCGAGAGGAAGGUGGGGAUGACGUCAAAUCAGCACGGCCCUUAUGUCCAGGGCUACACACGUGUUACAAUGGCCAGUACAGUGGGCAGCUACCAUGUAAAUGGAUGCUAAUCUCCAAAGCUGGUCUCAGUUCGGAUUGGGGUCUGCAACUCGA